GUCAUGGAGAGAGAAGAGGGGAAAGAGAGUGUGGAGGGGAUGAUGUGGGGCUGCAAUGGGUCCCUGGAGAGCCUCGGAGGGGGGUCAGAGGUCAGAGGUCAUGUGCCGUGGGGUCGGUAUGGGGUCAGUAUGGGGGGGUGAUGGAGUCAGUGUGGGGUGAUGGGGUUGGGGUGAGCAGAGGGGAGAGAGAGAGUGGAAGGGAUGAUGUGGGGCUGCAAUGGGUCCCUGGAGAGCCUCGGAGGGGGGUCAGAGGUCAGAGGUCACGUGCCAUGGGGUCAGUGUGGGGUCUUAGGGUCAGUAUGGGGUCGGUAUGGGGUCAUUGUGGGGUGAUGGGGUUGGAGAGAGGUGAUGGAGUGAGAAGAGGGGAAAGAGAAUAUGGAAGGGAUGAUGUGGGGCUGCAAUGGGUCCCUGGAGGGCCUUGGAGGGGGGUCAGAGGUCAGAGGUCACGUGCCAUGGGGUCAGUAUGGGGUCAGUAU
ensembl:lncRNA